rnacentral:piRNA from 1 species
UCAAUCAUCUUCAAUGUUUCU